rnacentral:lncRNA from 1 species
UCUUUCUUUCUUUCUUUCUUUCUUUCUUUUAUUUCAUAAAAUGCACAGGCUCAUUGCCCUUUUCAGAGACAGGGAGUGCUUGAUCAACAUUUCAUGGCACAAAGCUGGAAGGCCUGGGUUACAAUCCACCUUAAUGAGUGUACUGGGGAAUAUUUACUCUUCAGAUAAGUUUCCCCUGUGUUAUUCUAGCUUUUACCAAUUCAAUGAUUUAAUCAAAAUUCAAUGGCUUCCUACAGUGUAAAAGUCAGUCUACUGUCAUCUAGUUAAUAUUGGGGGGCACGUUUCCAAUUUACAGAGUAAGAGGGUCUGGCAUCUCUUCUCCAGUAGAAUCCUCACUUCUCAGACUUAGUUUCCACAUAAUCUGGUUCAUUAAGAGAAGAGAUAACAUUCUGAGUGCAAGUUGGGCUUCUUAAACUUCACACCAGCAGCCAGUGAGGAGAACUUUGAACAAUUAUUGAGUUGCUUUCUUGGGUCUCUAUAAUCAAUAACCUAUCUGCAGAUAUCUAUCUAUAUAAAGAUAUUAUAUAUAAAUAAAAAUUUACAUAUAUAUGCACAUGUAUAUAUAGCUGUACAUAUAUGUGUGUAUAUAUAUACUUAAAUGUAAUAUUUACAAAACUGUGAUCUCGUCUAGAGAAAAUGUAUUCAUAUUACAAACUGCUCUUCCAUAUUUAUGUAUCAUAUUAUACCUUUUUAUUACUGUCAUAAUUAUUGAGGGUAUUUCUAAUUAUUAUGAUGUUAGAAUCUGUUUAGCACCUUCUGGAAGCAAUCAAAAAUAUGAUUUUUCAUUGAAGUGCUUAGAAUCUGUUCUCAUGAGAAAUCUACUGGUCUACUGUAAAACAAACAAACAAAAAUUUUAAAAAAAUGAAAGAAAGGAAGAAAGAAGGAAACAAAAGAGAGAGAGAGAGAGAGAAAAGAAAGAUUAAAGUAAAGUAAACAGCAAAAACUAAAUACAACCCUGUUCUUCUUCCUGUACCUCAUGCGCAGAAAUGUGCUGCUCUUGUUUUGGGUUAUUUUUCCUGUUCAUGUGUUUUUAUGGAUCUAAGUUAAGUCUUUCAGCAAUAUAUAAAAAUGUAAAUAGUUAACUUUAUUUAUUAAGAAUGUCAUCUUUUUAAAUUUAUAUUUACACGAUGGUUCAUCUAAUUUAUUUUUUCUAUACGGUUUAAAAUACUCAAACAUAUUUUUCUGUUCAUGGUAUUUUUUAUGCUCUUCUCAUGGAUUUGUGUUUCCAUACUGUUUUCUCUGGUCUCAAUUACAGGUUAGAUCUGACACACACACAUAUACACAAAUAAUGUCAAAGACGAAUAUUUUGCCACUGUUGAUUACUAUACCUUAAAGUUCUAUAUUAUGAAAAUAUAUAAUAGCUUGUCUGCUUCAGCAUGUUGUUGUGUGGUUUUUGACUGUUAUAGUCAUAUAGAAUGGUCACGCGCGUACUCACACAAACACACUCACACACACAUGCAAACAUACCCAUGAAAUAACCUAAAAGGAAACGUGAGCUUAUAAUAAAAAAAUUCAAUAAAAAGCAUGAAAUUGAAUUCAAUAUAUAUCAAGUGCUCUAUAUAAUUCCUGAAAAGUAUCUAUAUUUUGUACAUGCAAUAACUGGCAAAUAUUAUUAUACAUUAUAAUAUAUUUCCAUUCUAUGACACUAACAUAUAUACUCCUUGUCCUUAUAUACUGCUAUUUGGACUCUGUCUUCAACAAUAUACUCUGAGAAUAUUUUUAUUUUCAUAACAAAAACACCCAAACAACAAAAAUGAACACAACCUGUGUUCUGGAUGUCACACUGUCAUUGUAAUCCUGAGCUCACUACAGAGGUUGAUACUACACAAAUCCUUAUUUGGGUUCUUCAAGAUUACAUCCUGGAUCAGGAUUGAGGGGCUCGUUAGGAUGCCUCUCGCCCUAAGGAGCUAUUGGCAGUUGAUGGUUACAGGGACAGAGGGAUAUCAUUUUCUUCAGUGUUGUAAGAACUGGCAAGGGGCCCAUGCUCCUUAACCCUCUGUCCAAGCUCAUUGAAGCAAACCUCAUUAAAUAAAUGUGAGGACCAACAAUAUCCACAACAACAACAAGUGAGAAAACUAACAAGAAAGAAGGGCACGUGCAGAGUCGGGGAGGGGAGAGAGAGUGAGGCAUGGAUGGGAUCACCACACAAUGUAUAUGUAUAAAGUUUCAAAAUGAUGUUAUGUGAAAAAUAAUAAAUUAAAAAGUAUGAACACUU